UGAACUGCAUGGUACCUGCGUUCAGCAGUUUAUUCCUACUGGGUUUUCAAAGGACUGUGAGAUAAAUUCAGUAUCUGGCAUCGUUGGAUUUCUUGGCUUUGUGCUUGUUGAUACAGCAUAAAAAUUUUGAUGGUUCACAA